UUUAAACGGCCGCGGUAUUCUAACCGUGCAAAGGUAGCGUAAUCACUUGUCUUCUAAAUAAAGACCAGUAUGAAUGGCUAAAUGAGGACAAACCUGUCUCCUGCACCCAAUCAGUGAAACUGAUCUUCCAGUACAAAAGCCGGAAUAAUCACAUAAGACGAGAAGACCCUGUGGAGCUUGAAAUUUAUAGCUACUUUAACCUAGUACAAAUUUUAAGUUGGGGCGACUUCGGAACAAAACAAAACUUCCGAGCAAGGAGUAUUACUCCAACAAGGCCUACAAGCCAAUAGCCGACCCAGUCAUACUGAUCAACGAACCAAGUUACCCCAGGGAUAACAGCGCAAUCCCCUUCAAGAGUCCUUAUCGACAGGGGGGUUUACGACCUCGAUGUUGGAUCAGGACACCCCAAUGGUGCAGCCGCUAUUAAAGGUUCGUUUGUUCAACGAUUAACAGUCCUACGUGAUCUG
rnacentral:rRNA from 1 species